UACGGGGGGGGCAAGCGUUGUUCGGAAUUACUGGGCGUAAAGGGCUCGUAGGCGGCCAACUAAGUCAGACGUGAAAUCCCUCGGCUUAACCGGGGAACUGCGUCUGAUACUGGAUGGCUUGAGUUUGGGAGAGGGAUGCGGAAUUCCAGGUGUAGCGGUGAAAUGCGUAGAGAUCAGGAGGAACACCCGUGGCGAAGGCGGCCCUCUGGCUCGACCCUGACGCUGAGGCGCGAAGGCGUGGGGAGCGAACGGG
rnacentral:rRNA from 1 species